rnacentral:rRNA from 1 species
GUGAAGCCCAGCUUGCUGGGUGGAUCAGUGGCGAACGGGUGAGUAACACGUGAGCAACCUGCCCUCCACUUCGGGAUAAGCCUUGGAAACGGGGUCUAAUACCGGAUAUGAGCACUCAUCGCAUGGUGGGUGUUGGAAAGUUUUUCGGUGGGGGAUGGGCUCGCGGCCUAUCAGCUUGUUGGUGGGGUGAUGGCCUACCAAGGCUUCGACGGGUAGCCGGCCUGAGAGGGCGACCGGCCACACUGGGACUGAGACACGGCCCAGACUCCUACGGGAGGCAGCAGUGGGGAAUAUUGCACAAUGGGCGAAAGCCUGAUGCAGCGACGCCACGUGAGGGAUGACGGCCUUCGGGUUGUAAACCUCUUUCAGCAGGGAAGAAGCGCAAGUGACGGUACCUGCAGAAGAAGCGCCGGCUAACUACGUGCCAGCAGCCGCGGUAAUACGUAGGGCGCAAGCGUUGUCCGGAAUUAUUGGGCGUAAAGAGCUCGUAGGCGGUCUGUCGCGUCUGGUGUGAAAUCCCGAGGCUCAACCUCGGGCUUGCAUCGGGUACGGGCAGACUAGAGUGCGGUAGGGGAGACUGGAAUUCCUGGUGUAGCGGUGGAAUGCGCAGAUAUCAGGAGGAACACCGAUGGCGAAGGCAGGUCUCUGGGCCGCAACUGACGCUGAGGAGCGAAAGCAUGGGGAGCGAACAGGAUUAGAUACCCUGGUAGUCCAUGCCGUAAACGUUGGGCACUAGGUGUGGGGCUCAU